CGGGAUGUAGCGCAGCCUGGUAGCGCACCAUACUGGGGGUGUGGGGGUCGCUGGUUCGAAUCCAGUCAUCCCGACCA
rnacentral:tRNA from 32 species